rnacentral:lncRNA from 1 species
AUGGGAAGUGUGCAAGUGAUUGCUGCAGGAAACAGACUUGGAAGGAAAUCUGGGAGAGGCAAUGCAGCACCCAUCCUCGUGAGCAGAUCUCCUGAGGGCCUCGCUCUGUGGUUCCCAUGGAAGCAAACCUGGAGAGAGGGCACAGGCAGUGGUCACUUCCCCUUCAAGCAAAGCCCCAUCUUCCGGUCUCCUUCAACUCAAAGACCGCAGAAUUUGUCUGCGCAUCAAGAUGAGGGAGAGGGUUUGGGAAGGCCUAGCUCACCCGUUCUCGUGGACAAAGGCCUCCAACCUCUUCCCCAGAAGAAAUCAUCCGCAGAGUAAGCCAGUGCAGAUGUGAGCCCCAUGAAGGCAGAGACUAUGCAUGUCUUCUUCCAGCACUCCCGUGACUUAGCUCUUCCAACACUUGUGCCGCAGUCAACUAACCACAGGGUGCCCAGCAGCGAACAUUUACUUCUCAGGACUGGAAGCUGCCAGGGACAGCGUGACCAUUCUCCGUGCGGUCACUCACGCUUCUCCGCUUGCCUGGAUACUGGUGAUUUAGACUGGGCGUUAGAAGAGGUUUUUCAAAAAAAUCAGAUAAAACGUUAGGCUUUAACAUCUAUGUAUGGUCUCCGUCAUAUAUUCUGCUUUAUAAAAACAACUCUUUAAAAAUGCACAAGCCAGCCAGGCACAAUGCACACACCUGUGAUCCC